rnacentral:rRNA from 1 species
UACGAAGGGGGGCUAGCGUUGCUCGGAAUCACUGGGCGUAAAGGGUGCGUAGGCGGGUCUUUAAGUCAGGGGUGAAAUCCUGGAGCUCAACUCCAGAACUGCCUUUGAUACUGAAGAUCUUGAGUUCGGGAGAGGUGAGUGGAACUGCGAGUGUAGAGGUGAAAUUCGUAGAUAUUCGCAAGAACACCAGUGGCGAAGGCGGACUUACUGGUCCGGUUCUGACGCUGAGGCGCGAAAGCGUGGGGGAGCAAACAGG